UACGGAGGAUGCAAGCGUUAUCCGGAAUGAUUGGGCGUAAAGCGUCCGCAGGUGGCUGUGUAAGUCUGCUGUCAAAGAGCAAAGCUCAACUUUGUAAAGGCAGUGGAAACUACACGGCUAGAGUGCGUUCGGGGCAGAGGGAAUUCCUGGUGUAGCGGUGGAAUGCGCAGAUAUCAGGAAGAACACCAACGGCGAAGGCAGCUCGCUGGGACGGAACUGACGCUGAGGCGCGAAAGCGUGGGGAGCGAACAGG
rnacentral:rRNA from 1 species